rnacentral:rRNA from 1 species
UACGUAGGGGGCAAGCGUUGUCCGGAAUCAUUGGGCGUAAAGAGCGUGUAGGCGGUUCGGUAAGUCGGCUGUGAAAGUCCAGGGCUCAACCCUGGGAUGCCGGUCGAUACUGCCGGACUAGAGUUCGGAAGAGGCGAGUGGAAUUCCCGGUGUAGCGGUGAAAUGCGUAGAUAUCUGGAGGAACACCGGUGGCGAAGGCGGCAUCCUGGACCGACACUGACGCUGAGGCGCGAAAGCUAGGGUAGCAAACGGG